AUACUCACCUAGCAGGGAACAUACCAUGAUCGCAUAGUUGGUUUUCCCAGGAUGAGGCUUAUCUAUUGCACUUGGGAUGUGCUGACUCCUGCGGUUUCCCCAAAUGUGGGAAACUCAACUGCAUAAUUUGUGCUAGUAGGGAACUGUUUCACACUGUCCACU
ensembl:snRNA U1 U1 spliceosomal RNA